CCUACGGGUGGCAGCAGUGAGGAAUAUUGGUCAAUGGCCGUAAGGCUGAACCAGCCAAGUCGCGUGAAGGAAGAAGGAUCUAUGGUUUGUAAACUUCUUUUAUAGGGGAAUAAAGGUAUCCACGUGUGGAUAUUUGCAUGUACCCUAUGAAUAAGCAUCGGCUAACUCCGUGCCAGCAGCCGCGGUAAUACGGAGGAUGCGAGCGUUAUCCGGAUUUAUUGGGUUUAAAGGGUGCGUAGGUUGUUUUUUAAGUCAGCGGUGAAAGUUUGUGGCUCAACCAUAAAAUUGCCGUUGAAACUGGAAGACGUGAGUGUGUUUGAGGUAGGCGGAAUGCGUGGUGUAGCGGUGAAAUGCUUAGAUAUCACGAAGAACUCCGAUUGCGAAGGCAGCUUACUAAACUGCCACUGACAUUGAUGCUCGAAAGUGUGGGUAUCAAACAGGAUUAGAUACCCCAGUAGUC
rnacentral:rRNA from 1 species